rnacentral:rRNA from 1 species
UACGGGGGGGGCAAGCGUUGUUCGGAAUUACUGGGCGUAAAGGGCUCGUAGGCGGCCAACUAAGUCGGAUGUGAAAUCCCCAGGCUUAACCUGGGAACUGCAUCCGAUACUGGAUGGCUUGAAUUCGGGAGAGGGAUGCAGAAUUCCAGGUGUAGCGGUGAAAUGCGUAGAUAUCUGGAGGAAUACCGGUGGCGAAGGCGGCAUCCUGGACCGAGAUUGACGCUGAGGAGCGAAAGCUAGGGGAGCAAACGGG